rnacentral:ncRNA from 2 species
AUCAGAUAAAGGCAAACCUGCUGAAAGGCAGGGACGCAAAGUCACAGGUCUAAGGUUGGACAUAUGCGCAAUGAUUCCCGUCAGCAGGAGCGUAUCGAACACUAGGAUGGCUGGAUUGCCUGA